AUUCCUUUAAAUUUCUAUUCAUUGGUUAAUUCAAAAUAAUUUUUAAUUGAUAGAAUUUCAGGCAGAAUGGAGGAGGUAACUAUACUUUUAGUUAAUUCUCACUUGCCAUGUGGCCCACUCCAUUUUUGAGUAAGGCUAGUUCUAGGAUCCUGGUGGAUAUUACUAUUAUAAUAACAAUAGUUAAUUUUACUAUAGUAUUUCAAAUUUACAAAAUUCUUUACAUAUGUUACCUCAUUUGAUCCUCACAAUAGCCACUGGAACUAGUGUUAUUAUUAUUAGAGAAUGGCAAUAUUUAUGUGAAGAAUUGUCUAUGUAAGAGAUCAGUUUCUUGUAAAUUAAAGGUUAGACUCCCUCUGACUCAUUUCUGGACUGGAUCUUGAAUCUAGUUCUGACUUUGGAAUGAAUAAAGAUGAUACAUGUUCCUGACUUGGAGAAAAAGGCUGCCAUUCUAUCUUCGUGACCCAAUCCACUGAAUGAUUUUCUUCAAAGGGUCAAGUUCAGGUUCACACCAAGUAGGCAGCAAGAAGCCAGACCUCAGAGGAGCAGAGGAGACUGGAAGAUACCAAUAUGUAAGCAGAAACCGAACUAUAAAAGAACAGUACCUGAAAGGAAAAGCAAGAGAACUGGAUCAAGCCCAAGAGUUCAAGAGGGAAUUACACCUGUUUGCUGUCCCCCUCACAACAUGAAAAACCCAUAAUCAUUCCUCCAACUGGAAACCAAAUCUGUAUUAUGUUAUACAUCUUUCUAAUUUUCUUCUAUUGAAUAAAAAUUUGUAUCCCACUAUACCUGGAGUCCA
rnacentral:lncRNA from 1 species